rnacentral:rRNA from 1 species
AACAAACGCUGGCGGCGUGCCUAAUACAUGCAAGUCGAACGGGGAAAGCUUUCGGGUGAGUACUAGUGGCGCACGGGUGAGUAACGCGUGGAUAAUCUGCCUUAGAGUGGGGGAUAACUAGUCGAAAGAUUAGCUAAUACCGCAUAAGACCACAAGAACUGCGGUUCAAGGGGUCAAAGGUUUUUCGCUCUAAGAUGAGUCAGCGUAAGAUUAGCUAGUUGGUAGGGUAACGGCCUACCAAGGCGACGAUCUUUAACUGGUCUGAGAGGAUGAUCAGUCACAAUGGAACUGAGACACGUUCCAGACUCCUACGGGAGGCAGCAGUAGAGAAUAUUGCACAAUGGAGGAAACUCUGAUGCAGCGACGCCGCGUGAGUGAUGAAGGCCUUCGGGUCGUAAAGCUCUGUCGCAGGGGAAUAACACAAUGAAGGUACCCUGUAAGAAAGGAUCGGCUAACUUCGUGCCAGCCGCCGCGGUAAAAC